GACGAACGCUGGCGGCGUGCUUAACACAUGCAAGUCGUACGGUAAGGCCCUUUCGGGGGUACACGAGUGGCGAACGGGUGCGUAACACGUGAGUAACCUGCCCACAACUUUGGGAUAACGCUAGGAAACUGGUGCUAAUACUGGAUAUGUGCUCCUGCUGCAUGGUGGGGGUUGGAAAGCUCCGGCGGUGGUGGAUGGACUCGCGGCCUAUCAGCUUGUUGGUGGGGUAGUGGCCUACCAAGGCGGCGACGGGUAGCCGGCCUGAGAGGGUGACCGGCGACAUUGAGACUGAGAUACGGCCCAGAUGCCGACGGGAGGCAGCAGUGGGGAAUAUUGCACAAUGCGCGCCAGCCUGAUGCAGCAACGCCGCGUGCGGGAUGACGGCCUUCGGGUUGUAAACCGCUUUCAGCAGGGACGAAGCUUUUUGUGACGGUACCUGCAGAAGAAGCACCGGCUAACUACGUG
rnacentral:rRNA from 1 species